rnacentral:rRNA from 1 species
UACGUAGGGGGCUAGCGUUGUCCGGAAUCAUUGGGCGUAAAGAGCGUGUAGGCGGCCCGGUAAGUCCGCUGUGAAAGUCCAGGGCUCAACCCUGGGAUGCCGGUGGAUACUGUCGGGCUCGAGUCCGGAAGAGGCGAGUGGAAUUCCUGGUGUAGCGGUGAAAUGCGCAGAUAUCAGGAGGAACACCAGCGGCGAAGGCGGCGCUCUGGGCCGCACCUGACGCUGAGACGCGAAGGCGUGGGGAGCGAACGGG